GGGUCCGCCCCGGCUCCGGGGUGGUGGCCCAGAGAGGGGUCCCGGGAGCCUGAGUUCCAAGCGGGGGCACGAGGAGCGGAGGGUGCUGCAGGCUUCCCGCCGGGAUCACCGGUCCCGGGUCGUCUGCGGGCGCAGAAUCGGGAGGGACACUUCGGGGUGUCGAAGCCUGGGGAGGGUCCCCGGCCGCGCGGCCGACCCCUGGGUCCCGGCUGGAAGGAGAGGGGAGGAAGGAGCUCUGAGUGAGUUAAUCACCAGGAGCGCCUCCUGAGUCACCCCCCCCCCAGUGCCAACGACGUAAAAGUGCUCACUGAGUCACUUCUCUGGUCCCCAGCGACUCACAAACCCAGGACUACAAAUCCAGUUGGAAACCAAGUGCUUUAGUGGCAAAAGGAGUUUCCCAACCAUCGUCUCAGGCGGCAAGCCCAGAAGUCUGGCCCUGGAGCCGCCACCCGGGCCCUUGUCCCCGUCCACCCGGAAGCCGGCCUCGCCGUCUGCACGGGGUCAGGUCCUGCAGGAACCAGGCUCACUGUGUGAAGAGUGUUUCCCCGUCGUCCUGGCUGCUCUGCCCGGUGACCUUGAGCCUCCAGGCCUCCUCCCUGGCCCUGAGACUCUGCUGGAAAGUGGAUUAUAAAGAGAAUAGAUCUGAGGAUGAGGCAAGACGCAGAAAGAGCGUCGGUGAGCAGUGACCUCUCCUCCCAUGCUGGGCCAGGCACCGUGAUCCAAAGACUUGUGGAUCCUGUGACUGAACAUUCCAGAGUAAAGACUUCAGGUGAGGCUUGAUCCAGCAACUCAAAACUAUCACCUAGGAGUCUUUUUCUGUCCACCUCGCCUCUCUGCCUUCCACAGGGUCUACCUACUUCAUUUGGGGGCAUUAUAAGAUGCCUGAGCUCCGUGGCUGAGAACCACUUUUAUCCUUUGAAGUCCAGCCCUGGGAAAAAAAGCAUCCCUAUUUCCCAGGAUUCUCCUCUCUGAUCGGUCCGUUUUAAGGUCCUAGGCCACCCCUGAACCCAUCCUAGUGGCCAGGAAGAUGGAAUGUGCUGGACAGCUUGGCCAAAAUCCCAUGCUUCGUCUCUGGCAGCGGGGUGACACCAGUGUCCCUGACUCUACCUGCAGGCUUUACGGGGAUCUAGUCCUGAUGGGAGGUCGCACGUGGCCGGGAGGUUGACCCCCAUGGGGCUAUGCAACUCGGGCAAGUCACCCCCCCCCAGUUUCUCUAUUGCCAAGUGAGUGGUUGGAUGAGCCGGUCCCCCAGACUCGCCAUGUCACCAGACCUCUCCUCUGUGUGUCCAACCCCAGGGAGGGGUCCUGAGGGUCACGGCACCGCUGCCCUCCGGCCUGUCUGGGCUUCGAGGGCUCCACUGCACUUCCCCCCAAGCACCAGCCCCGAGCCCGCCUUCCUCCAGGGACACGCUGAACCGCGGUCCUGGGGCCCGGCUGAUUCAGCUCCCUGGGGCCCGGGGCUUCAGGACUGAGGUGAAGGAUCGGGGCCGCAAGUCCCUGGAGAAAGAGAGUUGUUUGUUUAUCUUGACUCAUAAAAAGCCACACAAGAAGGAGGUUUAGAAGCUUCGGGCAGGUUAUGGACGCCAUAAACGCGGCUGAUGUGAUAUUUUUAGGAUGAAAAAUUGCCCAAGAUGGAAGAGAAGCAAGUCAAGCUCCUCAGGGCACCAGGGCCGUCUCCCUCUCCCUCUCCCCAGAAAAACCACCUUAGACAUUGUCAGGAAGACAAAGAGGGCAGAUCAAGCGUGAGUCCAGGCGUGUCUACGAUGCCCAUCUCAGCACCAGGAGACCCAGCUGGUUUGGGUAGUGCUGGGGCCUCUGGGAGCAGGGGUGGCCUCCCGGGUUUACUAAGCCGAGAGGAGCAGGAGCAGCCAUUUUGUGCUAGGAGGCGCCCUGCCCACAGCUCUCACAGUAGGGAAGGGGAGACUGGGAGGCGAGGACAAGACAGAGCCCAGGACCGCCUGAGACUGGAGUCCCCGGGACUUAUCCAGGUUCAUUUAGCCACUCAGCAAAGGCUAAAUGAACCUAUUUAUGUGCCAGGCCUCAAAAUAUAGGCAUGAAGAGGAUUCCGCCCCCCCCCCCAGGAACUUUCCUUUUUAAAUACAGUCCCUGUGCUUGCUUGGCAGGAAACCAGAGCCCUCAAGACAUUCCUGCUGAUUUGUGGGGUUCCCUUCCCAUCCCGAACCCUAACUUGUUCCCUUCUCUCAGUGAAG